GAUGAACGCUGGCGGCGUGCUUAACACAUGCAAUUCGAACGAUGAAGCCCAGCUUGCUGGGUGGAUUAGUGGCGAACGGGUGAGUAACACGUGAGUAACCUGCCCUUUACUCUGGGAUAAGCCUGGGAAACUGGGUCUAAUACUGGAUAUGACUUCUCAUCGCAUGGUGGUGGGUGGAAAGAUUUAUUGGUCUUGGAUGGACUCGCGGCCUAUCAGCUUGUUGGUGAGGUAAUGGCUCACCAAGGCGACGACGGGUAGCCGGCCUGAGAGGGUGACCGGCCACACUGGGACUGAGACACGGCCGAGACUCCUACGGGAGGCAGCAGUGGGGAAUAUUGCACAAUGGGCGCAAGCCUGACGCAGCGAUGCCGCGUGAGGGAUGACGGCCUUCGGGUUGUAAACCACUUUCAGUAGGGAAGAAGCGAGAGUGACGGUACCUGCAGAAGAAGCGCCGGCUAACUACGU
rnacentral:rRNA from 1 species